AGAGACUGGCACUCAUUAAACUUGUGCGCAAAGUUGUUUGCAGUCGAUGUCGGCAAAUCCGCGCGAAGGUGAUUAUGACGGCGCCGUGGAGUGCGACGUUAACGACGUGAUACCCGAAAGGAUUGAACCCACCGACGAGGAAAGUCGGGCAAGCUGUUGGAUUUUUACCUGAACGACAGCACCGUUAGAGGGCGAUAAGAUUUAUGGCUUUUGACGUCGGAAAGAGCUGUUCCCCAGAAAUCGUUGGACCAAAUGCUGCUUUUGCUUGUUCCCCUACCGUCAGUAGCACCUCCUCCGCUGGAUGUGACAUCUUCGUUAUACCUGAUGGCACUGAGAUCGUCGUGGACGAAAUCGCCGCCUAGCGAAUUGGCGAACACCAAACAGCCCAUCAAUAAAGGUAGAGAGUAAUACAGCCGGCUUUCGGAAGCCGGAAGCUGAUCGGCACUCAUCGUGUGUCCGGAUCAUGAACUACGAUCACUUCACUUGCCAAUCGCGUUCGUUAAAAAAAAAGAUAAAUAUGAAAUGUGAACCGGUGUGCGGACUGUUGCCAACUGCUGGAGCGUCCACUCCAUCAGCUGGAGUCAUUCUACGUUUGACUGCUAUUGCUAUACGAUGAUAUGGUACAACACACACAAAUGCAUUACCUUUCGCAUUCCUUCUGACGAGGCGUUCGUGACGGCGCCUGCGUCUUAGACUACAAAUGCCCUUCUUGUCUUUUUUCUUUUGGCUUUUCAUUUUUUUCAUUUCUUUUAUUUUUGUUUAAAUCAGCGAUCGUUAUACUCUCUUUUUUUUUAAAUUUAUUUUGCAGUUUCAACAUUUCACAUGACUAUCAGCCGACCAAGUGAGGCGUCUUAAUGCGCCAUUGAUUUUUUUUUUGUUGGCGAAGUCAUCGUGUCCGAUGAUCCUUUACGAGGUACAAGCAGUACAUCAACUCGUUACGUACCAUCCAAGUUGCGUUUGAAAUGGAAAAUGGCAAUGAAAUGCAGUCGAGCACGAGUGACGACUGAGCUUAACCUCCCACGCCAGUCAUUCGCCUUUCUGUGUAAUCUCAUAUCUAAUACUAGCGUCAAAUUGAAAAUUGCUAGUGCAACAAAUUAAAUUGCAGAGCUCGUUCUGUUCGAAUUUGGUUCCGAAUCUCAAUUGAAUGCGACUGGAUUCUAGAAAAUUCCUUUAUUUCUUUUUAGUUGAAAUUUUUUUGCUUGAUCGCUUUUACUGAUCACGUUUAAAGUCCACGCACUUGAAUGUCGGCUUUUGAUGUCAUGAUUUCUGUAUAUACCACAAGAACCAGCCGAGAAGUAAUCGCAGUUCGGGUCGUUCAAGCGGCAUUCAAUUCGAUCCACUCAAAACUCUGCUGUCUCAUUUCUUUUUCUUUCCGAUUCUAUGGUUCGAAUCAAAGAGUCUACAUCGCCAUCAAUGCUUGUAUUUUUUCGUUUUGACGUAUAGCUACGACCGUUCUAUCCAUUUCACCGUAAAUAAUUCUUUGGUAACGAUCUCCCCUCAACCAAUAUUUUGAAAAAUGAUUCCCUCCUUGUUUCCUUUAUAUUUAAUGAAUUUUUUUUUUACUUAUUCUUUGAUCGACUUUUUAUCAAUAAAUUUUUUAUCGUGGUAGCUUUUAAGCAGCUAAAAUCUGUAGGUAGAGGAAACGUGGUUCAUUAUUCCAGCUUCUGUAGUAGUUGGAUAGUGUGUAAAAAUAAAAAAUAAAAUAUCUAUUUUCCACA